UCCCCGGUGGCUCAGAGGUUAAAGCAUCUGCCUGCAAUGUGGGAGAUCCAGGUUCGAUCCCUGGGUCAGGAA
rnacentral:tRNA from 1 species